AUCACUUCUCGGCCUUUUGGCUAAGAUCAAGUGUAGUAAAAAAAAUAAUAUUAGCUUUAUUUAGCAAAAGUACAUUAU
rnacentral:snRNA from 1 species